rnacentral:lncRNA from 1 species
AUUUUCAUUCCAUAAAACAGAAUGAAAAUUAUAUGUUGCUCUUGUUCAGCACUUUAAGCUGUUCUUGCGUUUUUCCUCAGAUGAAAAUGUCCUUUAUGCAGACCUCAUCACAAAAAAUAGGAUGUUUUCUGCUGAAAGAUUUUGGGUGCCAAACUACAACCCAACACCUUCCCAAGCUACAGCUCCUGUGAGUCAGACUUGUCCAGUAACCAAAGGCAGAACACAGGCAGUAUAAUACAGCACAAAGCAAAUGCUGGUAGAGGUCACAGCAAGGAUAACGCAGGACAAACAAUUGGCUCAGG